AGGCAAAUUGCAAUUUGAAAAUUGGAGAACUAGAUUUAUUAGAGAGAUACCAAAAUAUCAGCAAUUAUUAUUUCUUUCAUAGACCGAAAGUCAAGGGGUAGACAACAGUACGCCAAAGGACAUCACGGACCACUGAGUGGGCGUGGUCUUGGGGACAGUGUGGAGGAAAGACCCUCUCCGUGGAAAGCGACCACUGCCAGGUGAGCAUAGGCAGAUAAAAGGGGGUGGAGAACAGAAUGGGAAAGCUUUGGAGGGCUGUGAAGUAAAUUCCCCCCUUCUCUAACCAGAGCAUGUUGGACUCGCCAUACCCUCCCUCCCCCACGGACCCAUCCAGAUGGAGUUCUGUGACAUCACAGCCCCUCUGCCCACCCAGGGCUUUGAUUGGCUGUUGACUUGCUGACCAAAGAAAUCCCAAGGGCGUGGCCACCUCAGGGACAGGUAUAGAAGGGGGAGGGUUCAGGCCCACAUGGGGCAGAACGCUGCGAGGAGCUCCCAGGAGAAGCAGGGCCAGGUAGCCAGCAGGGCGGAGCACAGGACCUAGGACCAGGCUGAGAAAGAAGAGAAGAGCAAUUUCAGUGCCUAAACUGAAGGGAAAGGAUUAAUGUAAAUCAUGGGAAAUAAUUUGCAAAGAAGGCUAUUUAAAAUUGCAGCAGAGCAGUUCAUUUGGCACUAUAAUUCACUUUGGUGUAAAAUUCAAUUAUUACUGACAAAUAAAGAUUAUAUCGUGAAGCUAACCAAUCAAGAUUGUUGCUCAAAAUUCAGGUCACUGUAA
rnacentral:lncRNA from 1 species